rnacentral:rRNA from 1 species
GACGAACGCUGGCGGCGUGCUUAACACAUGCAAGUCGAGCGAGGCCCAUCCUUCGGGGUGGUGCCCUAGCGGCGAACGGGUGAGUAACACGUGGGCAACCUGCCCUCAGCUCUGGGAUAACUCCAAGAAAUUGGUGCUAAUACCGGAUGUGACCGCUGACCGCAUGGUCUGGUGGUGGAAAGAUUCAUCGGCUGAGGAUGGGCCCGCGGCCUAUCAGCUUGUUGGUGGGGUAAUGGCCCACCAAGGCGACGACGGGUAGCCGGCCUGAGAGGGUGACCGGCCACACUGGGACUGAGACACGGCCCAGACUCCUACGGGAGGCAGCAGUGGGGAAUAUUGCGCAAUGGGCGAAAGCCUGACGCAGCGACGCCGCGUGAGGGAUGACGGCCUUCGGGUUGCAAACCUCUUUCAGUAGGGACGAAGCGAAAGUGACGGUACCUACAGAAGAAGCACCGGCCAACUACGUG